GAUGAACGCUGGCGGCGUGCCUAAUACAUGCAAGUCGAACGCUUCACUUCGGUGAAGAGUGGCGAACGGGUGAGUAAUACAUAAGUAACCUGGCAUCUACAGGGGGAUGACUGAUGGAAACGUCAGCUAAGACCGCAUAGGUGUAGAGAUCGCAUGAACUCUAUAUGAAAAGUGCUACGGGACUGGUAGAUGAUGGACUUAUGGCGCAUUAGCUUGUUGGUAGGGUAACGGCCUACCAAGGCGACGAUGCGUAGCCGACCUGAGAGGGUGACCGGCCACACUGGGACUGAGACACGGCCCAGACUCCUACGGGAGGCAGCAGUAGGGAAUUUUCGGCAAUGGGGGAAACCCUGACCGAGCAACGCCGCGUGAAGGAAGAAGUAAUUCGUUAUGUAAACUUCUGUCAUAGAGGAAGAACGGUGGAUAUAGGGAAUGAUAUCCAAGUGACGGUACUCUAUAAGAAAGCCACGGCUAACUACGUG
rnacentral:rRNA from 1 species